rnacentral:lncRNA from 1 species
AUCACUGUGACUUGGGCAGGGAUGAAAAUACCCAGCUGACAUCAACAGCUCCCAGCACAGCCAGGGUAUUCUAGAGAUGCAAGUAAAGGACAUUGAUGUAAUUUGAAUAAGCCAGUUUUUCAACCAUCUUGAGGAGUCGGAAUCAGAAAUGAUGGAUAAAAGCCGGAAGGAGUAACCAGCUCUGAAGUCCUUGGAAAAUGCCCAAAAGCCGGCUUCCUCCUCCCUCCCUGCCCUUCUGCUGUGAGCCUUCCCACCACGAUUCCCACCGGGGAAUGCCACUGCCUGCACGGGGCCUCUGUGGUCAGCCGAAGUGACCUCCAACCUUCCUCGCCUUUCUCUGAGGGCAGGGACCUCGCUUCUCUUCCUGACAAAGCACUUUCAGGCAACUCUUGGAUUUCUUCACGGUUGAUUAAACUGUCUGUGUUUAUUCAGGACCCUUCUCCUCUUUCUGUGUCCGGCUGCUGACCUUUCUGUUGGUUCAUUGUCAGGGGAGAGCGCUCACAGGGCAGCCGGUCUGACUACUUGUUAGCGGCCCUGGUAAAGAUUUUGUCCUGGAAACCGUUUAGGUUGUUGAAAUAUUAGUGCGUCUUCAAAGCAUAUGGCUUUUUGCCUGGGUAGUUUUCAGAGUUGCUGUUACUGGGUGAGGCCAGAGGCGUGUGACAGAGGAAAACAUCAGAUGGCCUGUGAGUUAUAACUGCCAGCAGCUCUCUUGAGCCUCACGGAGGCUGAUCGUCUCGAUGUUUAGCUACACAAGGCUCCGCUCCGUGUGUGGCUCCUCGUAAGAGCAGCUAGAUAUGGUUUUGUUGCCUGCAAAUGGGAAGGAGGAGAAAAGGAAGCACAGAGAGCUUGGGAGCUUUGUUGAGUAGUCAAAAGACAAGCCAGGAUGGAUUAUCUUAAGCCAGCACCCACUUUGCAGAGAUUCUUAUCAACAGGGCGCCUAACACCCCUGCUGCCACCUGGCUUUGGUCUCUCAGGCUAGGUCUGCCCCUCAGUAGCUCCCACACAUCAAGGCUCAAGCCGAAGGCCAGUUCCACCACGUGCAUGCAUCACUUCUCUCCCUAAACACUAUCGCAUGUACUUGCUGCACCUCUCGAGAUGGUAUUUUUGUAUUUUGCUUAUUUGUGUGUGAAUCUUAUCGUGCUGGCUUGACUGCAAGCUCUUGGAGAGCGAGGAGUAUGCCUUCUGCGCCUGUGCGUGCCUGGAAGCACGUGGUGAAAGUCAAUGGAUAAACGGAGACGCGCAUGGCGCUCCCCCGUCCUUAUGCUCUGACAUUCCUUUGAUGCCGCC